rnacentral:lncRNA from 10 species
GCCAGGAUCUGUGGGACAGACCCAGCAGGUGGUGCCCCAUGUAAGAAGCAAUGAAAUGCAUCAUGAUGGAACCCUCAAAAACGAAAGUGAAGUUACUGCACACCCCUUAGGUCCUCUUUGGAUUCCAGCAUGAUGCAUCAAACCUUACCACGGCAUGACUAGGGCCCAACCUGCUACCAGAAAUAAAGGAAAUGACGAUGCAGAACCCACAACCCUGGAUGAUGUGGCUUCCUUGGAUGACACAGGCCCCAGACAUUACCUGGGGAAUGCUGAAGAACACAACUCAGGAGGCUGAACAAAUCUGCUUCAGACACAGAUACCAUUCAAUCCAUAUAAUUUGUUCUUUGCUAUGCUUUUUAUUCCACAUUGCAACUCUUAUAGAAUACUGAUUCUUCUUAUUCUCUCUUUUUGCCUGCAACCCACACCUGCUAUAAACUAUUGGGCCCAUCUUCUAGAUCUGCCUUUCUUACGGCAUUUUACUUGGGAAGGUACCCCCUUCUCAGCCUCUGACAACGUGACCAAUUGGCUGGGAGGUAUUGACUUACCCCCGGUGGGGUCCCUCAGUAAUGGCACACAUUGGACUCAGGUGCCAAGUAACAUUACAUAUCAAUCCUUG